rnacentral:rRNA from 1 species
GAGCGGAUGACGGGAGCUUGCUCCUUGAUUCAGCGGCGGACGGGUGAGUAAUGCCUAGGAAUCUGCCUGGUAGUGGGGGACAACGUUUCGAAAGGAACGCUAAUACCGCAUACGUCCUACGGGAGAAAGCAGGGGACCUUCGGGCCUCGCGCUAUCAGAUGAGCCUAGGUCGGAUUAGCUAGUUGGUGGGGUAAUGGCUCACCAAGGCGACGAUCCGUAACUGGUCUGAGAGGAUGAUCAGUCACACUGGAACUGAGACACGGUCCAGACUCCUACGGGAGGCAGCAGUGGGGAAUAUUGGACAAUGGGCGAAAGCCUGAUCCAGCCAUGCCGCGUGUGUGAAGAAGGUCUUCGGAUUGUAAAGCACUUUAACUUGGGAGGAAGGGCAGUAAGCUAAUACCUUGCUGUUUUGACGUUACCGACAGAAUAAGCACCGGCUAACUCUGUG